rnacentral:rRNA from 1 species
GAUGAACGCUGACAGAAUGCUUAACACAUGCAAGUCUUUGGCGAAGCUGUGCUUGCACAGCCUAGCCAAGGCGGACGGGUGAGUAACGCGUAAGGAACUUGCCCUGCAGUCAGGGAUAACAGACGGAAACGACUGAUAAGACCUGGUAAAGUCAGGCGGACUCAUGUCCAGCCUGAUGAAAAGAAAUGCUGCAGGAGAGCCUUGCGUCCUAUUAGCUUGUUGGUGGGGUAACGGCCCACCAAGGCGAUGAUAGGUAGCCGGCCUGAGAGGGUGGACGGCCACAAGGGGACUGAGAUACGGCCCUUACUCCUACGGGAGGCAGCAGUGGGGAAUAUUGGACAAUGGGGGCAACCCUGAUCCAGCAAUUCUGUGUGCACGAUGAAGGUUUUCGGAUUGUAAAGUGCUUUCAGCAGGGAAGAAAAAAAUGACGGUACCUGCAGAAGAAGCGACGGCUAAAUACGUGCCAGCAGCCGCGGUAAUACGUAUGUCGCAAGCGUUAUCCGGAAUUAUUGGGCAUAAAGGGCAUCUAGGCGGCCAGAUAAGUCUGGGGUGAAAACUUGCGGCUCAACCGCAAGCCUGCCCUGGAAACUAUGUGGCUAGAGUACUGGAGAGGUGGACGGAACUGCACGAGUAGAGGUGAAAUUCGUAGAUAUGUGCAGGAAUGCCGAUGAUGAAGAUAGUUCACUGGACGGUAACUGACGCUGAAGUGCGAAAGCUAGGGGAGCAAACAGG